AAUUUUGGACAAUGGGGGAAACCCUGAUCCAGCCAUCCCGCGUGUAUGAUGAAGGCCNNNGGGUUNUAAAGUACUUUUGGCAGNGAANAAAAGGUAUACCCUCAUACGGGAUGCUGCUGACGGUAUCUGCAGAAUAAGCAGAGGCUAACUACGUGACAGCAGCCGCGGUAAUACGUAGGGUGCAAGCCUUAAUCGGAAUUACUGGGCGUAAAGCGUGUGUAGGCGGUUCGGAAAGAAAGAUGUGAAAUCCCAGGGCUCAACCUUGGAACUGCAUUUUUAACUGCCGAGCUAGAGUAUGUCAGAGGGGAGUAGAAUUCCACGUGUAGCAGUGAAAUGCGUAGAUAUGUGGAGGAAUACCGAUGGCGAAGGCAGCCCCCUGGGAUAAUACUGACGCUCAGACACGAAAGCGUGGGGAGCAAACAGG
rnacentral:rRNA from 1 species